rnacentral:lncRNA from 1 species
AAAGCUGAAGUCCAUCCACAUUGCCAUCUUAAACUAUCUUCUAACUGGAAAAUAAAACUAUUUUAACAGUUUUGUCUAAUGGUUAUCAAAUCAGUCCAUUGCUAUGCCGCAAGGGCAAAACCAUAAAUUUCUCUAACUAGUGAUUAGUGAUUACUGAUUACACCAUUAGAUUAAAAGAACCUUGACUUGUGUUAGUAAAAGAAAAAGAAAAAAACACAAAAUUGGGUAAUAAUAAUACAAAUCUCUGCAGAAUAAAAACAAAACAAAACCCAAAAAUUCCACUUUUGCUCUUUUGCUCUCUCCCUCCCU